CGCAGGCGCGUUUCCUCAGGCCGGGAGACUGUUUUGAGGGGAGCGAGUGUUUUGAGUUGGAGAGCGCGUGAUGCCUACGCGCAAGCGCAGUCGUGCGGCGGCGCAUGCCGACUUCUUCCUUUGGGGCACCCGUGCCUUACCAACUUGCUGCUUUAUAGAGCCGGAAGCGGGAAGGCGUGCGUACAGAACCAGCUGCUAGAUCCGUGCACGCGGGAAAAGGCGAAGCGACCUGGGUUUGCAUUGGCAGGCAGAAUGCAGCGGUGAGGAUGCAUGUUCUGAAAUCUUAAACCAUGAGUCUAGCACUCAAUGAUCUGCUCAUUUGCUGCCGGCAGUUAGAGCAUGACAGAGCUACAGAAAGAAGGAAAGAAGUGGAUAAAUUUAAGCGCCUGAUUCAGGAUCCUGAAACAGUUCAACAUUUAGAUAGGCAUUCUGAUUCCAAACAAGGAAAAUAUCUGAAUUGGGAUGCUGUUUUCAGGUUUUUACAGAAGUACAUUCAAAAAGAAAUGGAAAGUCUGAGAACAGCAAAAUCAAAUGUAUCAGCCACCACACAGAGCUCCAGACAGAAGAAGAUGCAAGAGAUCAGCAGUUUGGUCAGAUACUUCAUCAAAUGUGCAAACAAAAGAGCACCCAGGCUAAAAUGUCAAGACCUCUUGAAUUAUGUCAUGGAUACAGUGAAAGACUCAUCUAAUGGUCUAACGUAUGGAGCUGACUGUAGCAACAUACUACUCAAAGACAUUCUUUCUGUGAGAAAAUACUGGUGUGAAGUAUCUCAGCAACAGUGGCUAGAAUUGUUUUCACUGUACUUCAGGCUGUAUCUCAAGCCAUCACAGGACAUUAAUAGAGUUUUAGUGGCUAGAAUAAUUCAUGCUGUCACCAGAGGAUGCUGUUCACAGACUGAUGGAUUACCUUCAAAGUUUUUAGAUCUUUUUUCCAAGGCUAUUCAGUAUGCCAGACAAGAAAAGAGCUCUCCUGGCUUAAGUCACAUCUUAGCAGCCCUUAACAUUUUCCUCAAGUCUCUGGCUGUCAACUUCCGAAAACGGGUGUGUGAAGCAGGAGAUGAAAUUCUUCCUACCUUACUAUAUAUUUGGACUCAACAUAGACUUAAUGAUUCUUUAAAAGAAGUAAUUAUUGAACUAAUUCAACUGCAGAUUUAUAUCCAUCAUCCACAAGGAGCCAGAGCUCCUGAAGAAGGUGCUUAUGAAUCCAUGAAAUGGAAAAGUAUCUUGUACAACUUAUAUGACUUGCUAGUGAAUGAGAUAAGUCAUAUAGGAAGCCGAGGGAAAUAUUCCUCAGGAUCUCGUAAUAUUGCUGUCAAGGAAAAUCUGAUUGACCUGAUGGCAGAUAUCUGUUACCAGCUUUUUGAUGCAGAUACCAGAUCCGUGGAGAUUUCUCAAUCUUAUGUGACACAAAGGGAAUCCACUGAUUACAGUGUACCUUGCAAAAGAAGGAAAAUAGACGUAGGCUGGGAAGUGAUAAAAGAUUAUCUUCAGAAGUCACAGAGUGAUUUUGAUCUCGUGCCUUGGCUACAGAUUACAACCCGAUUAAUAUCAAAAUAUCCUUCCAGUUUACCUAACUGUGAGCUGUCUCCAUUAAUACUGAUACUGUACCAGCUUCUGCCUCAACAGCGACGUGGAGAACGCAUCCCAUAUGUGUUACGAUGCCUUAAGGAAGUUGCCUUAUGUCAAGGCAAGAAAUCAAACCUGGAAAGCUCUCAGAAGUCAGAUUUAUUGAAACUAUGGAUCAAAAUUUGGUCUAUUACCUUUCGUGGUAUAAGUUCUGGACAAACACAAACUGAAAACUUUGGUUUACUUGAGGCCAUCAUUCAAGGUAGUUUAGUUGAACUUGACAGAGAAUUCUGGAAGUUAUUUACUGGCUCAGCCUGUAAACCUUCUAGUCCUUCAGUAUGCUGCUUGACUUUGGCACUUAGCAUCUGUGUAGUUCCAGAUGCAAUAAAAAUGGGAACAGAACAAAGUGUGUGUGAAGCAAAUAGAAGUUUUUCUGUAAAGGAGUCAAUAAUGAGGUGGCUCUUAUUCUACCAGUUAGAGGAUGACUUAGAAGACAGCACAGAGCUGCCUCCAAUUCUUCAGAGUAAUUUUCCUCAUCUUGUAGUCGAAAAAAUUCUUGUAAGUCUCACUAUGAAAAACUCAAAAGCUGCAAUGAAGUUUUUUCAAAGUGUGCCAGAAUGUGAACAACACUGCGAAGAUAAAGAAGAGCCUUCAUUUUCAGAAGUAGAAGAACUGUUUCUUCAGACUACUUUUGACAAGAUGGAUUUUUUAACUACUGUCAAAGAGUAUGCUGUAGAAAAAUUUCAGUCUAGUGUUGGCUUCUCUGUCCAGCAAAAUCUCAAGGAAUCAUUGGAUCACUAUCUUCUGGGAUUAUCAGAACAGCUUUUAAGUAAUUACUCUUCUGAGAUUACAAGUUCUGAAACCCUUGUCCGGUGUUCAAGUCUUUUGGUGGGUGUUCUUGGCUGCUAUUGUUACAUGGGUAUAAUAACUGAAGACGAAGCCCAUAAAUCAGAAUUAUUCCAGAAAGCCAAGUCUCUGAUGCAAUGUGCAGGAGAAAGUAUCUCUCUGUUUAAAAAUAAAACAAAUGAGGAAUCAAGAAUUGGUUCAUUGAGAAAUGUGAUGCAUCUGUGUACAAGUUGCUUGUGUAUACAUACCAAGCAUACGCCAAACAAGAUUGCCUCUGGCUUUUUCCUACGAUUAUUAACAUCAAAGCUUAUGAAUGACAUUGCAGAUAUUUGUAAAAGUUUAGCAUCCUGUACGAAAAAGCCAUUGGAUCACGGAGUACAUCCAGGGGAAGAUGAUGAAGAUGGUGGUGGUUGUGACAGUCUGAUGGAGGCAGAGGGUCCAUCGUCCACUGGUCUUUCUACUGCUUACCCCGCUAGUUCUGUGAGCGAUGCAAAUGAUUAUGGAGAGAACCAGAAUGCUGUUGGUGCCAUGAGUCCUUUAGCUGCCGACUACCUGUCCAAACAAGAUCAUCUUCUCUUAGACAUGCUCAGGUUCUUAGGCCGAUCUGUAACUGCAUCUCAGAGCCAUACUGUGUCGUUUAGAGGAGCUGACAUUAGAAGAAAAUUGUUACUGUUGCUUGAUUCUAGCAUACUCGAUCUCAUGAAGCCCCUCCACCUGCAUAUGUACUUAGUGCUCCUGAAGGAUCUCCCUGGAAACGAGCACUCAUUGCCAAUGGAAGAUGUUGUUGAACUUCUGCAACCAUUAUCCCUUGUGUGUUCUCUGCACCGACGUGACCAAGAUGUCUGUAAAACGAUUCUAAGCAAUGUCCUUCAUAUAGUGACAAACCUAGGCCAGGGCAGUGUGGACAUGGAGAGCACACGGAUUGCUCAAGGACACUUCCUGACAGUGAUGGGAGCAUUUUGGCAUUUGACAAAGGAAAAGAAAUGUGUAUUCUCUGUAAGAAUGGCAUUAGUAAAGUGUCUUCAAACAUUGCUUGAGGCUGAUCCAUAUUCCGAAUGGGCAAUUCUUAAUGUAAAAGGACAAGACUUUCCUGUAAAUGAAGCUUUUUCACAAUUUCUUGCUGACGAUCAUCAUCAAGUUCGGAUGUUGGCUGCAGGGUCAGUCAACAGAUUAUUUCAGGAUAUGAGACAAGGCGAUUUCUCCAGAAGCUUGAAAGCACUCCCUCUGAAGUUUCAGCAGACAUCUUUUAACAAUGCAUACACGACAGCAGAGGCGGGGAUCAGAGGACUGUUAUGUGAUUCUCAGAACCCUGAUCUGCUGGAUGAGAUCUAUAACAGAAAAUCUGUACUACUGAUGAUGAUAGCUGUGGUCUUGCACUGUAGCCCAGUCUGUGAAAAGCAGGCUUUGUUUGCUUUAUGCAAGUCUGUGAAGGAAAACAGACUAGAACCUCAUCUUGUGAAAAAGGUUUUAGAGAAAGUCUCCGAAUCGUUUGGAUGUAGAAGUUUAGAAGACUUCAUGAUUUCUCACCUAGACUACCUGGUUUUGGAAUGGCUGAACCUUCAAGAUACUGAAUAUAGCUUAUCUUCUUUUCCUUUUAUGUUAUUAAACUACACAAGCAUUGAGGAUUUCUAUCGGUCUUGUUACAAGAUUUUGAUCCCACAUUUGGUAAUCAGAAGCCAUUUUGAUGAGGUGAAGUCCAUUGCUAAUCAGAUUCAAAAGUGCUGGAAAAGCCUGUUGGUAGAUUGCUUUCCGAAGAUUCUUGUGCACAUCCUUCCUUACUUUGCCUACGAGGGCACGAGAGACAGCUACGUGUCACAGAAAAGAGAGACUGCUACCAAGGUCUACGAUACUCUUAAAGGGGAAGACUUCCUAGGAAAACAGAUUGACCAAGUAUUCAUUAGUAAUUUGCCAGAGAUUGUGGUGGAGUUGCUGAUGACAUUGCAUGAGACAGCUGACUCGGCUGACUCGGACGCCAGUCAAAGCGCCACCGCCUUGUGUGAUUUUUCAGGGUAUGCCGGUCUCACACUUGGAGAGCUAGCCGUCGCUGACGGGGAUUUGGAUCCUGCCCCCAACCCGCCAUAUUUCCCCUCACAUGUCAUUCAGGCAACGUUUGCUUACAUCAGCAACUGUCAUAAAACCAAGUUUAAAAGCAUUCUAGAAAUUCUUUCUAAAAUCCCCGAUUCCUAUCAGAAAAUACUUCUGGCCAUUUGUGAACAAGCAGCUGAGACAAAUAAUGUCUUUAAAAAGCACAGAAUUCUUAAAAUAUAUCACCUGUUUGUUAGUUUAUUACUGAAAGAUAUACAGAGUGGCCUGGGAGGGGCUUGGGCCUUUGUCCUUCGCGAUGUUAUUUAUACUCUGAUUCACUACAUCAACAAAAGGUCUUCUCAUUUCACAGAUGUGUCGUUGCGUAGCUUUUCCCUUUGCUGUGACCUAUUAAGUCGAGUUUGUCAUACAGCUGUAACUCAAUGUAAGGAUGCUCUAGAAAGCCAUCUUCACGUUAUCGUUGGCACACUUAUUCCCCUUGUGGAUUAUCAGGAAGUUCAAGAACAGGUAUUGGACCUGUUGAAGUACUUAGUGAUAGAUAACAAAGACAAUAAAAACCUCUCUGUCACAAUUAAGCUUUUGGAUCCCUUUCCUGACCAUGUUAUUUUUAAGGACUUGCGUCUUACUCAACAGAAAAUCAAAUAUAGUGGAGGACCUUUUUCACUCUUAGAGGAAAUAAACCAUUUUCUCUCAGUAAGUGCUUACAAUCCACUUCCGCUGACCAGGCUUGAAGGACUGAAGGAUCUUCGAAGACAACUGGAGCAACAUAAAGAUCAGAUGCUAGAUCUUCUGAGAGCGUCUCAAGAUAACCCACAAGAUGGCAUUGUGGUGAAGCUAGUUGUCAGCUUGUUGCAGUUAUCCAAGAUGGCAGUGAACCAGACUGGUGAAAGAGAAGUUUUAGAGGCUGUCGGAAGGUGUUUGGGAGAAAUAGGUCCUCUGGAUUUCUCCACCAUAGCUGUCCAGCAUAACAAAGAUGUGUCCUAUACCAAAGCCUACGGGUUACCUGAAGACAGAGAACUUCAGUGGACCUUGAUAAUGCUGACUGCCCUCAACAAUACCCUGGUAGAGGACAGUGUCAAAAUUCGAUCUGCUGCUGCUACCUGUUUGAAAAACAUUUUGGCUACAAAGAUUGGACAUAUUUUCUGGGAGAAUUAUAAGACAUCAGCGGAUCCAAUGCUGACCUAUCUACAACCUUUUAGAACAUCGAGGAAAAAGUUUUUAGAAGUGCCCCGAUCUGUUAAAGAAGAUGUUUUAGAAGGCCUGGAUGCUGUGAAUCUGUGGGUUCCUCAAAGUGAAAGUCAUGACAUUUGGAUAAAGACACUGACGUGUGCCUUUCUGGACAGUGGAGGCAUAAACAGUGAAAUUCUCCAGUUAUUAAAGCCAAUGUGUGAAGUGAAAACCGACUUCUGUCAGAUGUUGCUGCCAUACUUGAUCCAUGAUGUUUUACUGCAAGAUACACAUGAAUCGUGGAGAACUCUGCUGUCUGCGCACGUCCGAGGAUUUUUCACUAGUUGUUUUAAGCAUUCCUCCCAAGCAAGCCGCUCAGCAACUCCUGCAAAUUCGGAUUCAGAGUCAGAGAACUUUCUCCGAUGCUGUUUGGAUAAAAAGUCACAAAGAACCAUGCUUGCUGUUGUCGACUAUCUGAGAAGGCAAAAGAGACCUUCCUCGGGAACAGCUUUUGAUGACGCUUUCUGGCUGGAUUUGAAUUAUCUUGAGGUUGCGAAGGUGGCUCAGUCCUGCUCUGCUCACUUCACGGCCUUGCUCUACGCAGAGAUCUAUUCAGAUAAGAAAAGCACAGACGAGCAAGAGAAAAGAAGUCCAACAUUUGAAGAAGGAAGUCAAGGAACAACUAUUUCUAGUUUGAGUGAAAAAAGUAAAGAAGAAACUGGAAUAAGCUUACAGGAUCUUCUCUUAGAGAUCUACAGAAGUAUAGGAGAGCCGGACAGCCUGUAUGGCUGUGGAGGAGGGAAAAUGUUACAACCCCUUACUAGAAUACGGACAUAUGAACAUGAAGCUACGUGGGAGAAAGCCUUAGUAACUUACGACCUGGAGACCAGCAUCUCCUCCUCCACCCGCCAGUCAGGAAUCAUCCAGGCCCUGCAGAAUUUGGGGCUCUCCCAUAUCCUGUCUGUCUAUCUGAAAGGAUUAGACUAUGAAAGACGAGAGUGGUGCGCUGAGCUGCAGGAGCUGCGUUACCAGGCGGCGUGGAGGAACAUGCAGUGGGGCCUCUGCGCUUCUGCCGGCCAAGAAGUAGAAGGAACCAGUUACCAUGAAUCGUUGUAUAAUGCUCUGCAGUGUCUAAGAAACAGAGAAUUCUCCACAUUUUAUGAAAGUCUCCGAUAUGCCAGGGUGAAAGAAGUUGAAGAGUUGAGUAAGGGCAGCCUUGAGUCUGUAUAUUCGCUGUAUCCCACACUUAGUAGAUUGCAGGCAAUUGGAGAACUGGAAAACAGUGGCGAGCUUUUCUCAAGGUCAGUCACAGACAGAGAGCGCUCUGAAGCAUACUGGAAGUGGCAGAAGCACUCCCAGCUUCUGAAAGACAGCGACUUCAGCUUUCAGGAGCCUCUCAUGGCUCUGCGCACAGUCAUUCUGGAGACCCUGGUACAGAAGGAAAUGGAGCGCUCUCAAGGAGCAUGCUCUAAGGACAUUCUCACCAAACACCUCGUUGAAUUCUCUGUUCUGGCUCGAACCUUCAAGAACACACAGCUCCCUGAAAGAGCAAUAUUCAAAAUUAAGCAAUAUAAUUCAGCUAUUUGUGGAAUUUCUGAGUGGCAUUUGGAAGAAGCACAAGUAUUCUGGGCAAAAAAGGAGCAGAGUCUUGCUCUGAGUAUUCUCAAGCAGAUGAUCAAGAAGUUGGACUCCAGCUUUAAAGAUAAAGAGAAUGAUGCAGGUCUCAAAGUCAUAUACGCAGAGUGUCUGAGGGUUUGUGGCAGCUGGCUGGCAGAAACUUGCUUAGAAAACCCUGCAGUCAUCAUGCAGACCUAUCUAGAAAAGGCGGUGAAGGUUGCUGGAAGUUACGAUGGCAACAGCAGAGAGCUCAGAAAUGGACAGAUGAAGGCCUUUCUCUCGUUGGCAAGGUUCUCUGAUACUCAGUACCAGAGAAUUGAAAACUACAUGAAGUCAUCAGAAUUUGAAAACAAGCAAACUCUCUUAAAAAGAGCCAAAGAGGAAGUGGGCCUUCUAAGGGAACAUAAAAUUCAGACCAACAGAUACACAGUAAAGGUUCAGCGAGAACUGGAGCUGGACGAAUGUGCUCUCCGUGCACUGAGAGAGGAUCGCAAGCGCUUCCUGUGUAAAGCAGUGGAGAACUACAUCAACUGCUUACUAAGCGGGGAAGAACAUGAUCUGUGGGUGUUCCGGCUUUGCUCCCUCUGGCUUGAAAAUUCUGGAGUUUCUGAAGUCAAUGGCAUGAUGAAGAAAGAUGGAAUGAAGAUUUCAUCCUAUAAGUUUUUGCCUCUCAUGUAUCAAUUGGCUGCUCGAAUGGGGACCAAAAUGACGGGAGGCCUAGGAUUUCACGAAGUCCUCAAUAAUCUAAUCUCUAGGAUUUCACUGGAUCACCCCCAUCAUACUUUGUUCAUUAUACUGGCCUUAGCAAAUGCGAACAAAGAUGAAUUUUUGAGCAAACCAGAGACAACAAGAAGGAGUCGAAUAACCAAAAGUACAUCUAAAGAAAACUCUCACCUUGAUGAGGUAUUUGGGAUCGAACAGAGGCUGCAACCAGAAUCAUCCACUCCAUCAGAAGUAAGCGAUGUAAGAUGGUGAAGGACAUGGAGGCGCUCUGCGAUGCCUACAUCAUCUUGGCAAACAUGGACGCCUCUCAGUGGAGGGCUCAGAGAAAAGGCAUCAAUAUUCCAGCCAACCAGCCAAUCACUAAACUGAAGAAUUUAGAAGAUGUUGUUGUUCCCACUAUGGAAAUUAAGGUUGAUCCCACAGGAGAGUAUGAAAAUCUGGUGACUAUAAAAUCAUUUAAAACAGAAUUUCGCUUAGCUGGAGGCUUAAAUUUACCCAAAAUAAUAGAUUGUGUGGGUUCUGAUGGCAAGGAAAGGAGACAGCUUGUGAAGGGCCGUGAUGACCUGAGGCAAGAUGCUGUCAUGCAGCAGGUCUUCCAGAUGUGCAAUACACUACUGCAGAGAAACACUGAGACUAGAAAGAGGAAACUGACUAUCUGCACAUACAAGGUGGUUCCCCUUUCUCAGCGAAGCGGUGUUCUCGAGUGGUGCACAGGAACCGUUCCUAUUGGUGAAUAUCUUGUUAACAGCGAAGACGGUGCACAUAGAAGAUACAGGCCAAAUGAUUUCAGUGCCAAUCAGUGCCAAAAGAAAAUGAUGGAAGUGCAGAAGAAGUCUUUUGAAGAGAAAUAUGAUACCUUCAUGACGAUUUGCCAAAACUUUGAACCAGUUUUCCGUUACUUCUGCAUGGAAAAAUUCUUGGACCCAGCUGUUUGGUUUGAGAAACGAUUGGCAUAUACACGCAGUGUGGCCACAUCUUCUAUCGUCGGUUACAUCCUUGGACUUGGCGACAGGCACGUACAGAAUAUCUUGAUAAACGAGCAGUCGGCAGAGCUUGUGCACAUAGACCUGGGAGUGGCUUUUGAACAGGGGAAGAUCCUUCCCACUCCAGAAACAGUUCCUUUUAGACUCAGCAGAGAUAUUGUGGACGGGAUGGGCAUCACCGGUGUGGAAGGUGUCUUCAGAAGGUGCUGUGAAAAAACGAUGGAAGUUAUGCGGAGUUCUCAGGAAACCCUGCUGACCAUUGUAGAGGUUCUUUUGUACGAUCCACUCUUUGAUUGGACUAUGAAUCCUUUAAAAGCUCUGUAUCUACAGCAGAGACCAGAAGAUGAGUCCGACCUCCAUUCCACCCCCAAUGCAGAUGAUCAAGAAUGCAAACAAAGUCUUAGUGAUACUGACCAGAGUUUCAACAAAGUAGCUGAGCGUGUCUUGAUGAGACUGCAAGAGAAACUGAAAGGCGUGGAGGAAGGCACUGUGCUCAGUGUGGGUGGACAGGUGAACUUGCUUAUCCAGCAGGCCAUGGAUCCCAAAAAUCUCAGCCGACUCUUCCCAGGAUGGAAAGCUUGGGUGUGACCUUCACCCUUAAACUCGAACUUCAGAAAUGACAUCUCACCCACCAUAUUUGGACAGGAAUUACUUAAGUGAAUAACUGCUUUUGAUCCAAUUUUCUACUUGACUGAUCACCACCUAAAUAUUAGUAUUUCUACUCUCUUCUGUUAGAGGUAAUGGUCACUCAAGAUCCAUUCGUAGGAUACGUGCUGACUCUUAGGUCAUGCUUGUGCUACUGCAGCAAGACCGCCGCAUACACACUGAACUGCAAAUGGUGGGGGCAGCAGAGUGAGCUUUACUGCUGGUGUACAUGAAGACAAGUUCGUAACUUCUGCUCUAAAACAACCUUUAAUUAAAGCAUGUUUUCCAGACUGUGUGUGUGUGUGUGUGUGUGUGUGUGUGUGUGAGAGAGCAUGUCACACACAUUAAGUAAUGAAGUGCUUAAUAAUACUUUUCAAAAGGGACUCUUUAAAAUUGUAACUAUCACUAUAUCAUGGGAAUCCCUCAUUAGAAUGAAUGUAGGUAGGGCUGGAGUGUGGCUCAGUGGGAGAACAUGUGCCUAACCUGUAGGAGGCCCCAUAUUCAGACCAGAAUUGCAGAUUCAAGAGAAAAAAAAAAAAAUAGAGCAUGUUGAAAGCAAGCAGUAUAAGUUGAGCCUUCUUAAUUCUUAAGUCCAAAACAUGAGACAUUUUCAUGUUGAAAACUUUCUGACAUAUUGGGCUCAUUUUAGACUUGCACAUUAUAUUAGGCACACAGCUAGUCUUAGCUCGCUGUCUGCAUGAAUGCUUCCCAACCUGGAAACGUCUAAAACUGAAAGCAACUCUCAGCACACAUACACACACUCACAACAAUAAAGUAAACAACUUUUUUACAAAGGGAAAAGUAGAUUGCAUAGUUUCAGCUAUGUGCCCUGGAACUAACAGAUCCACCUCCUGGGGCCUCCCAAGGUGCGGAAGGAAGGUCGGUGUUAAAGGUGUGCCACACCAUAUUCCACUUUAUUAAUGUUCCAAGUCCUGGUCUGUCACUAACCAUCUUUAAACACCGCAUUGGGAUCGUCUUGUUAAGGCAAGGGCUGGGUGGGCGGUUGGUUGUAUUGUUGAUUCUUGUCUCGGGGGCUGAUUGGUCAUUUUGUCAUUUUGAAAGGUGUGCUCACUCAUACACACAAGCACACACCGUGUGUGGGAAUCCAGAGUGGCUUGGUUAAGAGGGGUUCUUCCAGAUAGUUUGCUUCUGUUUCACCCUCAGGGAUUUUACUGACAUUUCUUGGCUCCGGAGCUUUAGAUCUCAGGAGUAGUGUAGAUUCCCGAGAGCAGCAGAGUCUUUCAGGCCGCAGUAGACCUGUUCUCUCUAAUCUGUAUGCUAAUGGGCAUAAUGUUGAAUUGAUGCCCCUUAAAAUGAAAGCUCGACCUGUGUCUCACUGUGGUGGCAGGGUAAAGGGAGAUGGCAUUUAAUGCUUCUCUUGUGCUGUUUGCAAGCCUAAUACCACACGUGUGUGUGUGUGUGUGUGUGUGUGUGUGUGUGUGUGUGUGUGUGUGUGUGUGUGUGUGUGAUUUGUAUUGUAUAUACAAAGCCAAACUACUCUUUUGGUUUCUGUAAACUGCUAUGAAACUGUUCUGCAUUUCAGCUUUCUUGUGUAUUUUGUAAGAAUUGUUAAAUGGAUAUUUGGCAUCUGCUUGACUGCAGUAAAUCAGGCGGAUGUAAUGAACUUAGAAUGUCUGUAAGCAAGUGUUGAUGUCUUCAUGGAUGGAGGAAGAAAAUUAGCUAAUGAUGUCUAGCUAAAUGAAUUUGUAAUUUGUUUUUGUAGUUAAUCCACUGAAGAGGUUGGAAUAGUUGAUCCAUUCUUCACCCUUGAAUAAUAUUCUGUUAACAGAAUAUAUUCAGAUUUCUUCAGUGGCUUUGAUAAAUCUAUGUCAAAAUUUUUCAGAUAAACCCAGAAGCUGCUACUUGAAAGGUGAAAAAGACUGAGUUAGAAAAUCUUUCUGACAGGUUUGAGUGAGACGGGCUGUUACCAGGAGCCCAUGAGUGAUAGUUAGAUUUAUAGGUUACUAAGAAUCAGGUAUUUUCUUUAUGCUGAGUACCUGACAUGUCUAUCAGCAGCACCUCUGAUUCUUACAACAAAACUUUGUAAUAUUCCUGACGGUGCCACAGAUUAUCUGGAGAAAAAUUACUUGCCUGAGGACAGAAGACAUUGCACAUGUGUUCCUCACAGAAGCUGCUAGAAAAGAAGGAGGCAGCAUGUCUGUCUGUCUGCAGUAAAGGAGGCAGCACUCCUCUUCCAGCCCUAUGCUGCUGUACCCCUCAAAUGGUCCCCAGUCAGGUCCUAAGGCUAAGGUCAUCAUAGCGUUCAAUUAAAACAGGGAAAAAAGGGUGUGUCCCUAGAAAUCCAUCUCAACUUUAGAUGUGAUAAAAGGAAUAAACGCAAAAAGGAACUUAGAGCACCUUAAGGUUUAUAAUAACUGUCUUUCUUUUUAAGUAGAAGGUCAGUAUGAAAUAGAAAAUGUGCCAUAUCAAAUGUUUUAGUUGCACCUUAGUAAAAUUAUGUAUGUUAUGUAGAUUUGUUUAGUGCUAGUAAAUGUUUUUCAGUUAUGCUGUUUCCUGAAUUAUCAGUUUGUUUUAAAUAAAGAACUGUGGAAGUAUA